GCUAUACAGCUAGCUUGACCACCUAAAUUACCAAACCAACAUUAAUACACUUAACAAAACCACACCACCCCAAACUAAAACAUUCUACCGCCCAAGUAUGUGAGACAGAAAAGGCCUCUUAUAGCAAUAACAAAAGUACCGCAAGGGAACGCUGAAAGAGAAAUGAAACAAAUCAUAAAAGCACAACAAAGCAGAGACUAACCCUCG
rnacentral:rRNA from 1 species